rnacentral:rRNA from 1 species
UACAGAGGGUGCAAACGUUGUUCGGAUUUACUGGGCGUAAAGCGCGUGUAGGCUGCUUCGCAAGUCGGAUGUGAAAGCCCUGGGCUCAACCCAGGAAGUGCAUUCGAAACUGCAGAGCUGGAGUCCUGGAGAGGAAGGCGGAAUUCUCGGUGUAGAGGUGAAAUUCGUAGAUAUUCGCAAGAACACCAGUGGCGAAGGCGGCUCACUGGUCCGGUACUGACGCUGAGGUGCGAAAGCGUGGGGAGCAAACAGG